rnacentral:rRNA from 1 species
GUAACGGCGAGUGAAGCGGGAUGAGCUCAAGCUUAAAAUCUCUGUACAUAUUUUGUGCGGCGAAUUGUAGUCUAUAGAAGCGUGGUCAGUGUAGGCACUUGAGAUAAGUUCCUUGAAAAAGGACAGCAUGGAGGGUGAAACUCCCGUUCAUACUUGAGUAGCUUAUGCGUACGACCCGUUUUCUUUGAGUCGCGUUGUUUGAGAAUGCAGCGCAAAGUAGGUGGUAAAUUCCAUCUAAAGCUAAAUAUUGGUGCGAGACCGAUAGCGAACAAGUACCGUGAGGGAAAGAUGAAAAGAACUUUGAAAAGAGAGUUAAAGAGUACCUGAAACUGCUGAAAGGGAACCGGAUCGUUUCUAGUGUCUAUAAUCUGUGACAUAUUUCAUUGGGGAGUGUGUGCGUGUGUAUACUAUGGCAGUGGCUUUUGCUGCGCUUGGUGUGCGUGCUGUAUGUGCUUACUGGUGCCCUGUGUUGCGGUGGGACGUCAAGGUCGGUUUGUAUACUGCGGGAAAUGGCUAUUGAGGAGGUAGGGCUUACGCUUGCGUUUGUCUAUUAUAUCUUGAUAGUGUGUCGUGGUUGAAACUGAGGUGUCUAAAACGUGCUUAUGAGUGGGACUGUGUCUCCGUGUGCGCCGUGUGCGGAUAGCUUGCUAUGUGUGUGUGGUAGUGGUGGAUUGAUGCGGGCUUUAACUUGUUGCCGUUCGGGACGUUGGCGAAAUAGAGCGAUUUGACCCGUCUUGAAACACGGACCAAGGAGUCUAACAUGUGUGCAAGUGUUAGGGUGUGGAAACCCAAGCGCGAAAUGAAAGUAAAGGAUAGUGAAAUGUCUGAGGUAGGAAACGCUGCGUUGUGGUGUGGCACUAUCGACCGAUCAUGAACCUUCGUGGUGAAAGAUUUGAGUUUGAGCACAUAUGUUGGUACC